GCCUGGAUUCACCAUUCUCGAGUGAGGAAAGCUCCAGAAGCCCCCUGGAAAGUAACGCCGGGUGACGGUGAACUGAAACUGAAGCUUAGUCGAACAAAAUGAGGACAUUACAGUCAGGAGUAUUUAGUAAUAUUGUUGGCAAAAGAUUU